rnacentral:rRNA from 1 species
UACAGAGACUGCAAGCGUUAUUCGGAUUCACUGGGCGUAAAGGGUGCGCAGGCGGUUGUGUGUGUCAGGUGUGAAAGCCCGGGGCUUAACCCCGGAAUUGCACCUCAAACUACACGGCUAGAGCAUUGGAGAGGGUAGCAGAAUUCACGGUGUAGCAGUGAAAUGCGUAGAUAUCGUGAGGAAUACCAGAGGCGAAGGCGGCUACCUGGACAAUUGCUGACGCUCAGGCACGAAAGCGUGGGGGGCAAAAGGG